GGCCAUCGAUGUUUACUGUGUCGUCGUCAGGCUCUGCUACAUGGCUGGUGGGAACGGAACGACGGGCCCAGAACCAGAACGAGUGUUCACUAGCAGAAUCAGAAAUUGCGUUGUGAAACUCUCAAUAGUGGCAGGAAAAUGGAAUCAGCACCUCAUGCCGAAUACAUCGGUGGAAUCUCUCGUGCACGACGUGAACAGAUGUGUUCCCGACAAGAUGGUCCCAAGGGACGUCAAGCUUCUCACUGCUGCAAUGCACUACGGCCG